rnacentral:tRNA from 1 species
GCCGAAAUAGCUCAGUUGGGAGAGCGUUGGACUGAAGGUCUAAAGGUCCCUGGUUUGAUCCCGGGUUUCGGCA